GUGGGGAAUCUUAGACAAUGGGCGCAAGCCUGAUCUAGCCAUGCCGCGUGAUCGAUGAAGGCCUUAGGGUUGUAAAGAUCUUUCAGCUGGGAAGAUAAUGACGGUACCAGCAGAAGAAGCCCCGGCUAACUCUGUGCCAGCAGCCGCGGUAAUACGGAGGGGGCUAGCGUUGUUCGGAAUUACUGGGCGUAAAGCGCACGUAGGCGGAUUGGAAAGUCAGAGGUGAAAUCCCAGGGCUCAACCUUGGAACUGCCUUUGUACCUAGCAGUCUAGAGGUCGAGAGAGGUGAGUGGAAUUCCGAGUGUAGAGGUGAACUUCGUAGAUAUUCGGAGGAACACCAGUGGCGAAGGCGGCUCACUGGCUCGAUACUGACGCUGAGGUGCGAAAGCGUGGGGAGCAAACAGGAUUAGAAACCCGGGUAGUCC
rnacentral:rRNA from 1 species